AUUGAACGCUAGCGGGAUGCCUUACACAUGCAAGUCGAACGGAGUGGCGAACGGGUGAGUAAUGUAUCGGAACGUGCCCAGUAGCGGGGGAUAACUACGCGAAAGCGUAGCUAAUACCGCAUAUUUUUGGUGCGGCCGAUAUCGUUUUCGCUAGUUGGUGGGGUAAGGGCUCACCAAGGCGACGACCCGUAGCUGGUUUGAGAGGAAGACCAGCCACACUGGGACUGAGACACGGCCCAGACUCCUACGGGAGGCAGCAGUGGGGAAUGUUGGACAAUGGGGGAAACCCUGAUCCAGCCAUCCCGCGUGUGCGAUGAAGGCCUUCGGGUUGUAAAGCACUUUUGGCAGGAAAGCGGUACCUGCAGAAUAAGCACCGGCUAACUACGUGCCAACAGCCGCGGUAAUUC
rnacentral:rRNA from 1 species